rnacentral:misc_RNA from 1 species
UCCGACUUGACAUCGGCGGUCUCGCCAGAGUCCCCAACUGAAUGUGGUAACUGGCGACAAGGGUUGCGCUCGUUGCGGGACUUAACCCAACAUCUCACGACACGAGCUGACGACAGCCGUGCAGCACCUGCGAUGGUUUCUCCCUUUCGGGAGAUCCCCACCUAUCUCUAGGCGAGUACACACCACCGUUUCCAACCCAGGUAAGGUUCUUCGCGUUGCGUCGAAUUAAACCACAUCCUCCACCGCUUGUGCGGGCCCCCGUCAAUUCCUUUGAGUUUUAACCUUGCGGCCGUACUUCCCAGGCGGGAUGCUUAACGCGUUAGCUUCGACACCGCGGGGGUCGAUUCCCGCGACAUCCGGCAUCCAUCGUUUAGGGCGUGGACUAC